rnacentral:rRNA from 1 species
GACGAACGCUGGCGGCGUGCUUAACACAUGCAAGUCGAACGAUGAAGCCGGAGCUUGCUCUGGUAAAUUAGUGGCGAACGGGUGAGUAACACGUGAGUAACCUGCCCUUGACUCUGGGAUAACUGCGGGAAACUGUAGCUAAUACCGGAUACGACCCUCGGAGGCAUCUCCUGGGGGUGGAAAGAAUUUCGGUCAAGGAUGGACUCGCGGCCUAUCAGCUAGUUGGUGAGGUAAAGGCUCACCAAGGCGACGACGGGUAGCCGGCCUGAGAGGGCGACCGGCCACACUGGGACUGAGACACGGCCCAGCCUCCUACGGGAGGCAGCAGUGGGGAAUAUUGCACAAUGGGCGCAAGCCUGAUGCAGCAACGCCGCGUGAGGGAUGACGGCCUUCGGGUUGUAAACCUCUUUUAGCAGGGAAGAAGCGAAAGUGACGGUACCUGCAGAAAAAGCACCGGCUAACUACGUGCCAGCAGCCGCCGCGG